rnacentral:lncRNA from 1 species
UCGCUACCAGUGAACAGAUACGGAGUCCUCGGUUCUCUUCCUUGUCAUAACAGUGGCGAGAAGGACGAGUGAGUAAAGUGUCCUAACGAUGACGUGGUACGACCUGUCCUCGUUCGUCGACCACCGUGAGCACCUCCUGGAGGAAGCCUUCGGGGCACUUUCUCCCGACGAACUGAACAUCCUUACCCCACUCGAGCUGCAGCACAUCCCAUUGGAAGAGCUCAAGAAACUUUGCAUGCAGCAACUCCAAAGAAUGCCCCGCGCACGACUUCUGGCCGUUCUUCAGG